rnacentral:rRNA from 1 species
AGUGAACGCUGGCGGUAGGCCUAACACAUGCAAGUCGAACGGCAGCACAGUAAGAGCUUGCUCUUACGGGUGGCGAGUGGCGGACGGGUGAGGAAUACAUCGGAAUCUACUUUUUCGUGGGGGAUAACGUAGGGAAACUUACGCUAAUACCGCAUACGACCUACGGGUGAAAGCAGGGGAUCUUCGGACCUUGCGCGAUUGAAUGAGCCGAUGUCGGAUUAGCUAGUUGGCGGGGUACAGGCCCACCCAGGCGACGAUCCGUAGCUGGUCGGAGAGGAUGAUCAGCCACACUGGAACUGAGACACGGUCCAGACUCCUACGGGAGGCAGCAGUGGGGAAUAUUGGACAAUGGGCGCAAGCCUGAUCCAGCCAUACCGCGUGGGUGAAGAAGGCCUUCGGGUUGUAAAGCCCUUUUGUUGGGAAAGAAAAGCAGCAGGUUAAUACCCCGCUGUUCUGACGGUACCCAAAGAAUAAGCACCGGCUAACUUCGUG